rnacentral:sRNA from 1 species
UCAUAUUCCCAUUGGGGAAGAAUGAGAAGCUUCGACCGAAGGUUUGCGUCGAACGCAGUGAGACAACGCCAUUUAUGGCGGCCCGAAGGGUGAGGAGCGACGCGACGAAUAAUCCUUCCCCCACCACCA